CCCCUGUCUGCUCCAGAACCUUCCACCCUGCAGGACUCCUCCCUAGCCCCAUUGCUGGAUAUGCUCACUCUGUGAGGCCGCCAUGAAGGCAAAGCCUGCAUCCAUGUGACAGACUCCACUGAAGGGGCAGGAAUUCCUGCGGGUAGAAGAAGUCAUUCAAAAUGAUGCAUGUCGCAUGACUGCCCAAGGGAAUAACAACCAAAACCUGUUAACAGGAUGUCCCCUUAUUGGAAACCCCAGGACACAAGGAAGAGGCCAAGAUGUCUUCUUUCAGAUGACCAUUCUCUGAACCCUGACUCAGUGGCCAGCAGAGUCCUUGAGGAGUUCAGAGUCUAGAGAGAGAUCAACAGAUACGUUAGUACCUGUUUUUGCUAACCGAAGAAAUCUGAAGAGGAUUUUCGCUUUUAUGAAAGAUGACAAACGGCGAAAAGAGAGCUCUGCGCUUGUUUCACGUCAAGCUGUCAGAGAAGCAGCGCGCACUCCUGGUGGCCAGAGUGGGCCCACCAAGCUCCUUCCUGGGAACCUCGCUCAGCAGCUCAGCAUCAGGCCGCCAGAGACUUGAACUGUGGCCGUAAGUGCCUGUGCUUUCUCGCGAUUUAUUUUACAUAUACAUGAGCAAGAUGUGUCCUAAAGCAAGCAUAUCAGAAAAGCCUAACAGGCUUUUUUGGGCGUCUGGGAAUGCUGAAGAAUUUUUCCAUAUCAACGAAUGGCAAUUGCUUCUUUAUACAACUUCAGCUUAUGAAAGAUUUCAUAGGAACGCAGGGGAAACCUGUAACCAAGGUGGGAGACUUCAGCCCAGGAAAGGGGAGCUGGGGACUGGGAAGGUAGGAAACCUGGAGCAGCUGUCCUGCUGGCUCAGAUGGUAGAGCAUACAACUCUUGAUCUCAGGGUCAUGAGUUUGAGCUCCACUUUGGGAAUAGAGUUUACUUAAAAAAUAA